ACGGCCCUAGGAGCAGGACCCUGCACACAGCUGAGCUCAGAGGCUCCAGUCUGGCCACGAGAAUGCAAUGGGAGGUAUUCUUCAUUGAUCUUACUCGAAGUUGAGAACAUGUAUUUUGACUCUGAGAAAUGUUUGGAGGUCAACUGCAGUGAGGUCUCUAUACCACAGAGUGUUGUUGGCGUCUCACAUGGCCAUUCAUCAGCUCAAUACAAACAAGUCUUCACGGAGGUGGAGUUUCCUCCUCACCUGUUGCUAAACCAGGCAGCGUGGAUUGGCAUAUUCACUGACUUCAUGGCACGAAGGCCUACAAAAGCGGAACAACUUUUCACCAGUGCAAAAAUGUUCCAAAAGAUACUCUCUCUGUCCAAUACACUUGUAAGUGCAUUCUAGAAUAUAAAAAAUAGAGAGAGAUAAAUGUUCUGUUGAAAGAUAAUCUCCCAAAAUAUAAGUUUUUAUGUAAGACAGUGCUCUCAAGUCAUAAAUGGUAAAUUCUUCUGAAAGUCACAGAGGAAAUUACUCUUAAGACCUCUGUCUUGUUAAGUUAUCAUAGUAAUAAAAUCUCAACCUACUAAGGUAACUUUCUAAACAUGUCAGAGCUUGAAAGUCUCUUGUAAACCUCUAAAUACAAAGAAAACCUAAGUUUAUUUAUUGAAGUUCAAGCUGUAGAAAUCUGACAGCUUUGAGGACUUUAAAAGAUACUGAAUCAACUGCUAUAAAAGGAAAACAGUCUUGACAAUUUUAAUUCAUAUAGUAUUACAACUGAAGAAACUAUUUGAUGAUUUAUGAAGGGCACAUUUGCCGGCUGUGUUUUGGAGUUUUUGCAUGAAAAGUGAAUUUGUACUCAGACUGUUUGCAUCUUCAAAGACCCAUGAGCUUGGCUGUAGGGGCAUGCAACAUUAGGUUUGGAAAUAUAUGAAAUAAAUAUUGCUAUGCCUUAAGAAUGUGAUUUAACUGUCAAUUUGCUUUGAUACGUAGGUUUAAAGUUUUGGGUUAUUUUAUAUAUGCUAUUCAUGUAUAUCUGUAUUGGAGGCAUCCACUCGCUGCUUUAGAAGCUCCUGGAGAGUAGAAAUUGUCUCCAUGUAGCUCUCAGCAAUUAAUAAACACUGAAGGCAACUGGGCUUUUAAUUCUUUUUAAUGCUUAGUUACUUAAUUCAAUAUCUACUCCAUUCUAUUUGGUCUCAAGUGUAUUGUGUGUGAACAGAAUAAACAAAAGACUGAAUGAAUGAAGUCAGAUGUAACUUAGACAAAGUUUCUGGAAUGGCUCCUUAAUAAAAUCCUCUUCAAAGAAUAGGAUCCAAACAAAGAGAGGACACAUGAUUUCUGAAAUUAAAAUCACUGUCUAAUUGGAGAAGAUAAAUGUACCCACGUGAUUCAUCCAGAGACUAAUUACAAAGCAGCCUGUGAGCAAGUCUAAGAUUGUUUAGUAUACACUAAGUGUGCGGUUGCUAAACAGACGAUGUGCAGAUAAGCAUCAGCUAUGGGCAAGCGGUGGUCCCUGU
ensembl:lncRNA LINC00393 long intergenic non-protein coding RNA 393